rnacentral:rRNA from 1 species
AGUUUGAUCCUGGCUCAGGACGAACGCUGGCGGCGUGCCUAAUACAUGCAAGUCGAACGCUUCUUUUCUACCGAGUGCUUGCACUCACUUGAAAAGAGGAGUGGCGGACGGGUGAGUAACACGUGGGUAACCUGCCCAUCAGAGGGGGAUAACACUUGGAAACAGGUGCUAAUACCGCAUAACAGUCGACACCGCAUGGUGUUGAUUUGAAAGACGCUUUCGGGUGUCACUGAUGGAUGGACCCGCGGUGCAUUAGCUAGUUGGUGAGGUAACGGCUCACCAAGGCCAUGAUGCAUAGCCGACCUGAGAGGGUGACCGGCCACACUGGGACUGAGACACGGCCCAGACUCCUACGGGAGGCAGCAGUAGGGAAUCUUCGGCAAUGGACGAAAGUCUGACCGAGCAACGCCGCGUGAGUGAAGAAGGUUUUCGGAUCGUAAAACUCUGUUGUUAGAGAAGAACAAGUAGGAGAGUAACUGCUCCUACCUUGACGGUAUCUAACCAGAAAGCCACGGCUAACUACGUGCCAGCAGCCGCGGUAAUACGUAGGUGGCAAGCGUUGUCCGGAUUUAUUGGGCGUAAAGCGAGCGCAGCGGUUUCUUAAGUCUGAUGUGAAAGCCCCCGGCUCACCGGGGAGGGUCAUUGGAAACUGGGAGACUUGAGUGCAGAGGAGGAGAGUGGAUUCCAUGUGUAGCGGUGAAAUGCGUAAGAUAUUUUGGAGAACACCGUAGGCGAGCCGACUCUCCUUGUCUUGUACUGACCGCUGAGCUCGAAAGCGUGGGGGAGACAAACAAGAUAGAUACCCUGUAGUCCA